GCUAGAUGGAGAACAGACAGUAAUCCUCAUGCCAUUGAACAUGGAUGAUAUGAGACAAGCUGGAAAAUCAGUGCUGCUGGCAAACAGUUCUACACCACGAAAUUAGGUAUCUUAAUCCUCUCUCUCUCUCUCUCUCUCUCACUCUCAUGGUCUGACUCUUUGAAAUUUUGCAUUUGUUUUUAGUCAUUCCACUUUGUAGAUGAAUCAAAGCACUUAUUGAAUGACCAUGUUUUAUUUCUAAUUUAUAGCUAUUAUUUAAAUGCAAGAGGUUAUUUAGAUCAAAAUGAUUUCUUCUUUCA